CAAUAGCGUAUAUUAAAGUUGUUGCAGUUAAAAAGCUCGUAGUUGGAUUUCUGGUGGGAGUGUUUGGCCGGCUCAAUGAGUCUUGUGCCUAUAUGCUUCUGCCAUCCUUGGGGAAAACUUGCUUGGCAUUAGGUUGUCGAGUUUGGGAUCCCCAUCGUUUACUGUGAAAAAAUUAAGAGUGUUCAAAGCAGGCUUAUGCCGUUGAAUACAUUAGCAUGGAAUAAUAAGAUAGGACCUUGGUACUAUUUUGUUGGUUUGCGUACCUAGGUAAUGAUUAAUAGGGACGAUUGGGGGUAGUUCGUAUUCAAUUGUCAGAGGUGAAAUUCUUGGAUUAUUGGAAGACGAACUACUGCGAAAGCAUUUACCAAGGAUGUUUUCAUUAAAUCAAGAACGAAAGUUAAGGGGAGUCGAAGAUGA
rnacentral:rRNA from 1 species